UAAUUCUAAUAGAAUAUUAACAAUGCUCUAAUUAGACCAUAAUAAUGCUAAGCAAGCUUAAUCAAAUUCAAAAAAACCUCAAAGAAAUUUCAAAAAAUAAUAAGAAUUCUUAAAGAAAUAUUAGAAGGAUCAUAAAUAUCACUCAAAUACAUCUCAAUUCAAUCUUAAUUUAAUUUUAGUUAAAAUCCUAUUGGACUUCAUUCAAACUUUAGGCCAAAACUAAUUAAAUCUUAAACCCUAAUAAAAUCCUAAAUCCUAAAUCAAACCCUAAAUCCUAAACAAACCUUAAACCAAAUCCAAACCAAAUCCUAAACCAAAUCCUAAAUCCUAAAUAAAACCCUAACCAAACUCUAAAUCUUAAAUCAAAUCCUAACCAAACCCUAAAUCCUAAACCAAAUCCCAAUCCAAACCCUAAUCCAAAUCCUAAAUCCUAAAUCAAACCCUAACCAAAUCCUAAACCCUAAACCAAAUCCUAAU
rnacentral:lncRNA from 1 species